AUCGUUUGUUAUUGUGUGGAACCGGUUCUAAUAAAAAAAUAAUCUGUUCUUAUCAGUUUAAUAUCUGAUACACCCUCUAUAUGAGGGCUCUAUAUUAAAUGGUUUUUUAGAGCUGGGAGCUGGAAAAAGGGCUUUCUCUGUCCGCUCCAUGCAUUGGCCUGGUAUUGCAGUACUUCCAGGCUUGGUGCACCAUUU